GUCUUUUUAAGUCGAUCUAUAAAUUUUAAUGCACAAGCAGUCGUGCGUAAAAAUUUCAUCCAGUUGGAAAAUCUGGAUACGUCAGGCGAAAGUCCUUACUUAACUUUCAUUUCGGACAUACAUCACUGGUGGCGAAAUCGAAUUUUAAGAUUUUUGUUGCUUGGUCGGCUGGAUUUAGUCGCUGUGCCACAAACAUUUUAAAUCGCUUACUGCUGGAUUUAAGCCAAUGCAGAACUAUUUCUGAAUCAGUCCACAAGCAUGUUUUGCUUAUCCGAACAUUUAGAAUUUUUUUUACAGCUUUGCCUAAUCUAGCUCCUAGUAAUGCUCCUUGUAGCUCUAAUUUUGGUAUAGACUUUGGCUUUAAUGGAGCUACUUUGGAUUUUGCCAUUACCAAUGAACAUUCUACUGUAUGUGAAUCGCUGAAUCGCAAGUAUGCACAAGCGGCAUAGGCACUCUUUGAUGCGUCGCAAAAUAUGUUUAAUUGAAUGUCACAUUUGUCAAUUAAAAGAGUUGUCAUUU